AAGCUCUUAGUUGAAUUUCGGGAUCACUUUAUCGGUCGUGCCUCGGUAUGAACUGGUACAAUUGGUUUCUCCCUUCUGACGAAGCAUGAUGUCAUUAAUUUGGUGUUGUGGGGAGUCAGGACUGUUACUUUGAAAAAAUUAGAGUGUUUAAAGCAAGCUCACGCUUGAAUACAUUAGCAUGGAAUAAUGAAAUAGGACGUUCGAACCUAUUUUGUUGGUUUCUAGGUACAACGUAAUGAUUAAUAGGGAUAGUUGGG
rnacentral:rRNA from 1 species